AAAAGAGGGGGAACCUGCGGCUUAAUUUGACUCAACACGGGAAAACUCACCAGGUCCGGAUACACGUAUGAAAGACAAGCUGAAAGACUUUUCUCAAUGAUGUAAGUGGUGGUGCAUGGUCGUUCUUAGUUCGUGGAGUGAUUUGUCUGGUCUAUUCCGAUAACGAGCGAGACCCCGACGUUCUUAGUAGGAGCUGCAGCCCGGCCCGCGCUGGUUUACUCCGGCCGGGUUAGCUGCGGCUUUAAAGUGAUGCUUCUUAGACGUAUCAGGGCCGAUAAGGUCCUUGAAAUGGGUUAAUAACAGGUCAGUCAUGCCCUUAGAUGUUCUGGGCCGCACGCGCGUUACAAUGGCAUGGAAAGAAAGUGCUCCUCACAGGGCGUCCCCGCGGCCUAACGGUCGCGGUAACCCCUAGUCCCUGCCUUGACUGGGACAGUCUUUUGCAAUUAUUGGUCUCGAACGAGGAAUUUUUAGUAGUCGCAGGUCAUUAGCCUGCGACGAAUGCGUCCCUGCCCUUUGUACACACCGCCCGUCGCUGCUACCGAUUAA
rnacentral:rRNA from 1 species